rnacentral:rRNA from 1 species
ACGAACCGUACGAACGUUAUUCGGAAUUACUGGGCUUAAAGAGUUCGUAGGCGGCUUGGUAAGUCGGGUGUGAAAUCCCUCAGCUCAACUGAGGAACUGCGCCCGAUACUGUCAAGCUUGAGGGAGAUAGGGGUGAGCGGAACUGAUGGUGGAGCGGUGAAAUGCGUUGAUAUCAUCAGGAACACCGGUGGCGAAAGCGGCUCACUGGGUCUCUUCUGACGCUGAGGAACGAAAGCUAGGGGAGCGAACGGG